rnacentral:rRNA from 1 species
UAGUUAGCCGGUGCUUAUUUCUUACGGUACCGUCAUUAGCCCUCUUUAUUAGAAAAGACCUUUCGUUCCGUACAAAAGCAGUUUACAACCCGAAGGCCUUCAUCACUGCACGCGGCAUGGCUGGAUCAGGCUUGCGCCCAUUGUCCAAAAUUCCCCACUGCUGCCUCCCGUAG